CUCGGAGUUCCCAUCCAUCCAACCAGAUGCGCUAGCCCCGAUCCAAAAAUCGUCCCGGCCUCCUCCCGACCAACCCUGCGGGCUGCAGCCCCCUCGAUCCUCCCGCAGCCAUGUCCUGCUCCAACUCUUGACCGAGCAGGAGAGCAUGAUCCACCAGGUUGUCCCCAUCGCGCCCCAUCUCCCUUGCUCCUCUUCCUGCAACCUCCCUCUGUUCUUGGACGCGUCCGGUGGACCAAAUGUGGGCAGCCCCGAGAAGCCAGCUCCUCCCGUAGUGCCCUGCUUCUCAGCUCGAUGGAGAGAUCCAGCCGAACAAGCAUGAGCUCCGCCCCGUGCAUGCCUCACCUUUGUCCCGGGACCCCAUCCCCGUCGUUCCCGUGUUGCCAGCCUCGCCCGCAACAAGCCAUGGACGCCCGUGCCCUGUAGGUUGUUGUGGAAGCUCGCCUCGUGAGAUCUGACUCAGACGACCCAGCAAGCCGUCUCCGCUCCCCACGCUCCUUUGCUUCCUUCCCUUCUUCUCCCUCUCUCUGACCUCUCUCUCUCUAUCUCUCCCGCAUUGACCUCGUGCCCACCAUGGAUGCGCGAAGGAGCUCCGUCGGCAUGGAACCUGAAGAUCCCGCCUUUGCCCGAUCUAGCCACCUGCUGCCUAGAUUCGACUGGAUCAAGUCGUCGUCGACCCAUUUCCAGCGCCCUCGUGCGACCCCGCCGCCUUCAACCACCUGCAGCACUCGCCAUGGCCGGUGGCCUCCUUUUUCCAUGCUGUGAGCAACCGCUGUUCAACCUGAAUCUUCGAUUCUUGCCUAGAUCCGUUCUGGCGUAAAGAGUUUAAAUAGGAUCACCACAAAGUCUUUGCAGGAGCACACGAUUACCACAUUGGCCAGCGCCCUGAGCUGGUUAGCACUUUUGUUUGAAUUUUUGGAGGACCGGAAAUCAAAUCCCCAGGGCCUCUCUUUUAUUUUCAUCCUUUGUAUUUAUUUUUCUUUUACAUGUAUGUUGCAUCC
rnacentral:lncRNA from 1 species